UACGAGGGGGGCUAGCGUUGUUCGGAAUUACUGGGCGUAAAGCGCACGUAGGCGGACUUGUAAGUCAGGGGUGAAAUCCCGGGGCUCAACCUCGGAACUGCCUUUGAUACUGCAAGUCUCGAGUCCGGAAGAGGUGAGUGGAAUUCCUAGUGUAGAGGUGAAAUUCGUAGAUAUUAGGAAGAACACCAGUGGCGAAGGCGGCUCACUGGUCCGGUACUGACGCUGAGGUGCGAAAGCGUGGGGAGCAAACAGG
rnacentral:rRNA from 1 species